rnacentral:lncRNA from 1 species
UGAUGCUGACCACCAAGAGUCCAAGACGGUAACAAAUUCUGACAGAUGGUCAACACGUUAUGCACACAUGCGCCUUUAUUUGUUGCCCGAUGGCAUGGGGACACUUAACACACACGAGGUUACAGUACAUACGCAGUACAUAUGACGGCUCAGUUGCUGCACUGGAUCUAUAGAAGACUUUCAGUAAUACAGACGAAAACAAGGUGCAACGGAUUCAGUGCUCGAGUCGUAAACCACCAGGUUCAACAACGCAUUGCUCGGCUGCACGACGGAGGGAGGCGGGGAGGCCUAACGAACUCGUGGCCGGCGAAGAACCCCUUCUCUUCUUCAGCUCCGGUAGCGCCCAUUCCGCCGCCUGCCGGCAAACAAGCAGAGUCGAGCCGGGCGCUUGAGUCAGACGAGCUCAAAGAUUCAUGAUGCGUAAUGAGAAGUGAGUUCGAUGUGCUGCUCACCGUUGUUACCAGGUUUGAUCGGGGCCUCCAUCGUUGCGCCAUCUUUUUUCAGCGUGUUCUCUGGCGAGAUCGUCCCCCCAACUGCUGCUGGACUGAGGUGGAGAGUUGCAAGCAGAAGAACUGCGAGAACGAGCGCCAGUUUCGCAGCCAUUGGAUGGUGUGAUCGGGUUGGCAAGGGAAAAUUCUGGAUGGAGUGGUGAUCAGUGGCUUGAGCUUUAUGUUGUGACUCUCCUUCCGUUGGCCGAAUUGUGUUAUAGGCUUGUAGCUACUAGUACUAGAUAGGUCGGCAUGAUGUGUCACAACCCACACAAGUCACAUGCUGAACUAAGAGCAUCUCCGGCCGCGCCCCUAGAACGGCCUCCCCAG